GGUCGAACCCGAGAUAUGGGCCGAACACUGAACAGUGUCUGGGCUGCAGGACAAAUUCUGACUUCUCCGUUGUUGCUACAAUUUAAACUUGAAAACGACCUUUUGGAAUCUUGGAUUUUUCAUGAAAGUUUUAGGCUUAUGUCUUAGCUUUCCAUC
rnacentral:pre_miRNA from 1 species